GGUUUGAUCAUGGCUCAGAUUGAACGCUGGCGGGAUGCUUUACACAUGCAAGUCGAACGGCAGCACGGACUUCGGUCUGGUGGCGAGUGGCGAACGGGUGAGUAAUGUAUCGGAACGUGCCUAGUAGCGGGGGAUAACUACAGCGAAGUUAUAGCUUAAUACCGCAUACUGGCCCUUCGGGAAAGCGGGGACCUUUCGGGCCUCGCACUAUUAGAGCGGCCGAUAUCGACGAUUAGCGGGUGGGUAACGGCUCACCAAGGCGACGAUCCGUAGCUGGUUUGAGAGGACGAGACCAGCCACACUGUACUGAGACACGGCCCAGACUCCUACGGGAGGCAGCAGUGGGGAAUUUUGGACAAUGGGGGAAACCUCCUGAUCCAGCCAUCCCGCGUGUGCGAUGAAGGCCCGGGUUGUAAAGCACUUUUGGCAGGGGAAAGAAACGGCACGGGAUAAUACCCGUGCAACUGACGGUACCUGCAGAAUAAGCACCGGCUAACUACGUGCCAGCAGCCGCGGUAAUACGUAGCAAGCGUUAAUCGGAAUUACUGGGCGUAAAGCGUGCGCAGGCGGUUCGGAAAGAAAGAUGUGAAACCGUGAGCUUAACUUUGAACUGCAUUUUUAACUACCGAGCUAGAGUGUGCAAGUGUCAGAGGGAGGUGGAAAUUCCCGCGUGUAGCAGGAAAUGCGUAGAUAUGAGAACACCGAUGGCGAAGGCAGCUCCUGGGAUAACACUGACGCUCAUGCACGAAAGCGUGGGGAGUAAACAGGAUUAGAUAAUUCUGGUAGUCCACGCCCUAAACGAUGUCAAUCAGCUGUUGGGGCCUUCGGGCCUUGGUAGCGCAGCUAACGUGAAGUUGACCGCCUGGGGAGUACGGUCGCAAGAUUAAAACUCAAAGGAAUUGACGGGGACUCCGCACAAGCGGUGGAUGAUGUGGAUUAAUUCGAUGCAACGCGAAAAACCUUACCUACCCUGACAUGUCUGGAAUCCCGAAGAGAUUUGGGAGUGCUCGCAAGAGAACCGGAACACAGGUGCUGCAUGGCUGUCGUCAGCUCGUGUCGUGAGAUGUUGGGUUAGUCCCGCAACGAGCGCAACCUUGUCAUUAGUUGCUACGAAAGGGCACUCUAAUGAGACUGCCGGUGACAAACCGGAGGAAGGUGGGGAUGACGUCAAGUCCUCAUGGCCCUUAUGGGUAGGGCUUCACACGUCAUACAAUGGUCGGGACAGAGGGUCGCCAACCCGCGAGGGGGAGCCAAUCCCCAGAAACCCGAUCGUAGUCCGGAUCGCAGUCUGCAACUCGACUGCGUGAAGUCGGAAUCGCUAGUAAUCGCGGAUCAGCAUGUCGCGGUGAAUACGUUCCCGGCCCUGCAUACACCGCCCGUCACACCAUGGGAGUGGGUUUUACCAGAAGUAGUUAGCCUCUAACCGUAUGAGUGGCGAUUACCACGGUAGGAUUCAUGACUGGGGUGAAGUCGUAACAAAGGUAG
rnacentral:rRNA from 1 species